AAAAUUUUUAAAAUAAGAAUAAUAUAUUUAAUGGGGGUUAAAGUAUAUUUAUUGAAAUAAUUAAAAAUUUUAUAGAGAAUUAGUAUUGUAAGAGAAAUUUGAAAUAAUUGAAAUUUAAUUAAUAAUAAAGUAAUUUUAGUUUAAUGUAUCUUGUGUAUCAGAGUUUAUUAAAAAAUAUUUUUUUAAAAAGAAAUUCUCGAAUUUAAGAGAGAUAAUUAAUUAUAAAAGUUAUUGUGGUAUAAAUAUUUUUCAUAAUUAAUUGGAAAUGAAAUGUUAAUCGUUCUUAAAUAUAUCUAGUUUUUUUAGAAAAAAAUUUAAUUUUAAAUUUAUACAAUAAUUAAUUAAUUAAUUAAUUAAUUAUUAUAUAAAUUUUAUAUUUUAAGGGAUAAGCUUUAAAUUAAAUUUAUAUAAUUAUUUACAUAAAAAAUUUUUGAAAAUUAUAUAAUUUAUAUUGUUAAAUAAUUAUAAUUUAUUAUAAAUAAUUUCAUAAAAAUUAAAUAAAAUUUAAUAAUAAUUUAUAUUUUUAUAAAGAAAUAUUUUUUAAUUAUAUAAAAUUAGAUAUAAUGAUAAAAUUAGUAUAUAAUUAAUUAAAUAAUUAUUAUUAUAAUUAAUGAAAAUUAUUUAAAAGGAAUUCGGCAAAAUUUUAUAUUCACUUGUUUAUCAAAAACAUGUCUUUUUGUAAAUAAUUUAAAGUCUAAUCUGCCCACUGAUUAAAUAAUUAAAGGGCUGCAGUAUUUUGACUGUACAAAGGUAGCAUAAUCAUUAGUCAUUUAAUUGAUGACUUGUAUGAAAGAUUGGAUGAAAUAUAAACUGUCUCUUAAGUAAAUUAUAGAAUUUAAUUUUUUAAUUAAAAAGUUAAAAUAAAUUAAAAAGACGAGAAGACCCUAUAGAGUUUUAUAAAUAAAUUUAAUUAGAAUUAUUUGUAAAAUUAAUAUUUAAAUUAUUUUAUUUAUUUUAUUGGGGUGAUAGAAAAAUUAAAUUAACUUUUUUUAUUGAUUAACAUAUAUAAGUGAAUAAAUGAUCCAAUAUUAUUGAUUAUAAGAAAAAAUUACCUUAGGGAUAACAGCGUAAUUUUUUUUUUUAGUUCAAAUAAGAAAAAGAGUUUGCGACCUCGAUGUUGGAUUAAGAUAAAAUUUAAAUGCAGAAGUUUAAAAUUUUGAUCUGUUCGAUCAUUAAAAUCUUACAUGAUCUGAGUUCAAACCGGUGUGAGCCAGGUUGGUUUCUAUCUUUUAAAAAAUAAAAUAUUUUAGUACGAAAGGAUUAAAUAUUUAAAUUAAAUUUAAUUAAAUGAAUUUUAUUAAUU
rnacentral:rRNA from 1 species